CUAUAGGUUACAAAUUAUUUCUUGAUCACAAAUUAAUGAAUUGUGAGUUAUAAUCACUUUUUUUAGGUCAUAUUUUAUUUAUUGGUUAAAAAUUAAUCAAUUUAUUUGUCACAGUAAACCAAAAAAUUAGUCACAAACACCCACAUCCCAUCCCUACCCAUGACCACCGCCAUGAUCACCAGCACUAUCACAAACCAUAGAAAAUCAGCACCACACCCCUAGCAACAUAAAACCACCAAUGACUGCUUCAUUUUACACAGUUAUUACAUUUCUUUUAUAAUUUUUUAUCAAUCCACCCAAUUGCUUCAUUUCACUUACCUCCCAUGGCUGCUUGAUGAUAGUUGCAGUUGGCCAAGCAACAAUAUACGCAACCGUUAGCCACAGUCCUAGCAUUGUCGUUGUGCACGAAGCAGAGACGAUGCACUCCCAUAGUCGCUAAUUCAUGUGCAACAGCGAUCUGUUCCUCAUUAUUGCUACGUCAUGUACGGCUGUGGCUAGCAGCUGCUACAGGUUUGGGAAUAUUCAUGGUGGUGAUGGCGUCAGUAGAUGUGACGGCUACAACGGGAGGUUUGGGAUUUUUUUCGUGGUUGUGGUGUGGUAGAGAUGAUAAGGUGGUUGAGUGUGGUGCUGGCAAGGUGGUGCCGAUGGUAUGGUGAUGGCGGUGCUUUCCGAUGACAGUUAGAAAGAGGAAAGAAGGUGAGAUCGAGAGAGAAAAGAGAAAAUGGAGAGGAUGAAAAUGAUUAGGUUUUGGUGUGG
rnacentral:lncRNA from 1 species